GACGAACGCUGGCGGCGUGCUUAACACAUGCAAGUCGAGCGGUAAGGCCCUUUCGGGGGUACACGAGCGGCGAACGGGUGAGUAACACGUGGGUGGCCUGCCCUCAGCUCUGGGAUAAGCCUGGGAAACCGGGUCUAAUACCGGAUAUGACUCCAUGACGCAUGUUGUGGGGUGGAAAGCCUUGUGCGGCUGAGGAUGGGCCCGCGGCCUAUCAGCUUGUUGGUGGGGUGAUGGCCUACCAAGGCGACGACGGGUAGCCGGCCUGAGAGGGCGACCGGCCACACUGGGACUGAGACACGGCCCAGACUCCUACGGGAGGCAGCAGUGGGAAUCUUGCGCAAUGGGCGAAAGCCUGACGCAGCGACGCCGCGUGAGGGAUGACGGCCU
rnacentral:rRNA from 1 species